UGCGGAGCCUCAGGGAGCCCGGCGGCUUAGCAGUUUAAUGGGUGAAUAAGGACAUUUCAGAAGUGUCCCCUGCCAUGCAUCCAACACGGCUUGUCGCACCGGGAGGGGACGAGCCACUCGCACCUGCUUUCACUGACGGAGGUCUUGAGAAAGUCACUUGAUAUUUUUAAAAGAUGGAUGGACCCACCGCUUCCUGGGCUCUGUCCGAGUCGCAGUGGGUGUGACUGCUACUGCUAAGCCCGCGAAGGGGUCGCCGCGUCCGAGGUCGUGGUCCCUUGGUCACCUGGUGUCGCUGCAACGGAUGGGCCGAGUGCUUUGUUGAAAGUAAGAGGAGACGGUGGCUGGCUGCUGCUCCGGAACCGGAAGUUCUCGGCUGCUGUCAGGUCGCACGUUGUCACGCGUUUGGCAGGAGGUAGGAGUGGGCCCGGCUCAGCGGUGAGUGGACAGGAAGAUUUAAGUGUUAACAAGGCAUUUAUGAGUAGCUGGCUACUCUGCCUGCUCCUAAGACAAGCUCGUGGACUGCAGCCAGGAACGUGGCAGGUCACCUUGCAGGAUUCCUACGUGGGACAGCUCUGCAGGCCGGCUGCAUGUGCGUUCUCCAGCAGGCGGGGAGCUCAGAGCCAUUCCAGCCACACCAGGUCUGCGGUCAUGCUGGCAGAAGCCAAGAGCCGUUUCUUAGAGCGGCUGAACAGAUCUACACAUGGCAGAAGCCUGAGGACAGUGGCGCCCCACCGAGAUGGCAGCAUACUCCUGACGACCCUGUUCGUGCUUCCUGUGAGCCCACCCCUGGGUGUGGCCAAGGAAGCCCAGUGUGACAAAUGCAUGGAGAGCCGGUGGCCAGGGGGCCAGCCCCAGGAGUCCUUUACAGCACCCACCCGUCAGCCAAGCACUUGGGUGGGAUGGGGAGAAGCCAAGUGUGUGUCAGUGCACACUUGCCAAGGGCCGAGCUCAGGGGUGACAGGCACGGGCCUGCUGGACAUGCCUCGGGUAUGUAGGUACUUCAGAUGGAGGAGUUCAGGGUCAUGCCCCAGACAGCUAGUCAGAUUGUAUGCCAGGUAAUAGAACUGACAAAUCCCGAACCUAAGCCGGCCCCGUCUCCAGAACCCAGUCCAAUUUAUGACCAGCUCUAAAGAGUUGGGUCGAGAUUUAAAAUGCCCUACCCUAUGGAAAAAGCCUUUUCAUAGGUCUGGCUGUGAUGCUAGCCCGUGAGCUUAAUGCCACCAACUGCUGAGUCUGCAGAAGGGCCUUGGGAGGGACUAGUUUAAUGCUUAGCAUCUCCUCCAGUGGACUCACUCUGUAACGGGGAGGGAAGAUGGCUGACCCCAAAAUCGGAUCCUAAUCUCCGAAGUGAGCAGUACUCCUGUGAUGAGCGAGUGCUGGGGUAACCACCGUCGGUGGUCCCGAGCGGUAGACGGCACUGGAUGGACGGUUCUGGAUACGUGGGAAACGAGCACAUGCCCAGCUUCUGGCACAGUGGGGAGGAAGCCGCACCAUCGGAAUAAUCCAACCUGGGCUUUUCCUCCUACCGAGCCAACCGGAACGAGUUAGGAGUCCCCCUUAACCACAGUCUAAGGAGAAGGACUGAGAAGCCUUGAAGUUGGGGAUCACAGAGGGGAGAUGAAUGGCCGCCUCAAAAAAUUGAAACCUAUGGUCUUGCCACUUGGGCACAAGAUGGGAGUCGGGGCUGCCAAACCCCCACAUACAUGCUUAAUUGGAUCAUCAGCUCACAGGCAGAACUAGAAAUCAUUGCUAGCCAGACAGCCCUGGCCCUAGAUGCGCACAGCAGUGUAUCAGAACCACGUACCUUGAGACAAUUUGCCAGCAGAAGGGAGCGUGGGGAGAGUGACCGCUCUGACUGCUGUUCUAGAUGCUGGGACAGCAGUAACUGACAGCAACUCCAGGAGGGUGGCACGUGUACCUGUCCAGGUUUGGGAAGGGCGGGGCCCCAGUGGGAUCUUUGGGGGGAUAGUUUUUCACCUUUGGAGAAUUCAGGGCCUUGAUUGGGGCAGUCCUUUUACUAGGAAUUUGCCUGGUCCCUUGUCUUGCCCAGCUUGUCAUCUGUUCCAUCCCCUCAUUGAAGCUGUAGUUGGAAAAAGAAAAACUGCAGCCCCCGUGUUCACGUUAUGGAAACGCGCCCGUAGACCAAGAGCAGCGUGAAGGCGAUGCGCUCUGGCCCAGUCUUGGGCCCGGGCAUUCAAGGGGACACGGGGCAGCGGAGGCCGAGCCAGCCGUUUCCUGCAAUGGCUGAAGGCUGUUUCCUUCCCGUGAUGGGUGAAAGACUUGCCAGUGGCACAGGCCACCUGCUCUGGUUGGUUACUCCCAUUACGGCCAGCCAGCAGUUCCAGAUACACUCGGGAGAAAGACAGGCAAGCCCGACUGAGGAAGUGUGAGGCGUGUGUGACCCAUGCUAGGUUUGGGGCUCAGCCUUUGACGUGAACCCACUGCAAUAAACGCUGCUUCCUGCUUCCGGCCUCGGUGUCUGUCCCAGGUGUCCUGCAAUGUGGUAAGGAGCUCCCUCGUUUAAACAAUACAGUGAGACGGUUUGUGUCUGUUUCUGAAAACGGAGUGUGACAUUUAAGCAGGAGCUGCAGACCGGUGCUUCUCCCCCUGGGGCAGUCGUGUGCCCUCCUAGGCCGGGAACAGCGCUGAGGACAAAUGGUGGGCAGAGGCCGCGGUGCUGCUGUGCCUUCUCCAGUGGGCAGACGGGGCCUGAGUGUCCAUAACGCUGAGGCUGGCCAGCCCUGCUGUGGCCUGUGGGCCCCUGAAGCCAGUGUGGGGGCGGCUGGCCUGGUGGCUCAUCUCCCCGUCUCAGGUGCAGUGGUCUAGGAGGGGCACGGGCCCAGCUUGGUGCUCAGUGGCCAGACAGUGAAAGAUACCACAGCACGUGCUCUGUCACUUCAGGACGGUGGGGCUGGGAGGGAGGCUGGCUGGGGGUCUGAAGCUUCUGGAUGCUUGCACUGGGCAGUGGUUUGCUAGAACCUGGCUGGGAACGGAGCAUGGAAUCACCCUCACCUGGGGGAGGAGUCGGGGUCCGCGGGCCACUGGAAAUGAACCCUUGAGCGGGAAGGGGUCAGCCCUGUGGCCCUGCCACCAGGUGCGGGGUGUCAUGCCCGUCUCCUGUGCUGCCCAUGGCAAUGCUUGGAGCACUCGUGCUCGGCUCUGCCCGCACUCCGCAGCAGCACCUUCCAGAGCCCAGGCCCGGCGGGGAGUCGUCACAGUUACGAGCGAAUGGUGCGCGCUCCUGCGGCCCCUCUGUGCAGGGCUCACGUGCACAUUUGGGGACACGCAGGUGGCCGUGGUAGAAGCGCAGCUCUGUCUCCAGGCGAAGUGGCCUCGUGUGGGACGUCUCUGUGCAAACAGUUGUCGUGUGCUCGGCAGGGAUCCGCUCAGCUACCGACAGCCCGGUGGAGCCCGGACGCAAACAGCCCACUAACGCACGUCGGCGGAGGGUGCCGGGUGGCCCUGUGGCCACACGAUCCUCACUUCCCACAGCUAAGGGGGCCACACUCAUUUCCAGUGGUGGCGAUUCCUGGUGACUGUCCCCCCGCAACCUGCGUGGCCGUGGCGAGACAGUCAUGCCGUGCUGGCAACGCUGCUCGAUGGGCCGAGGCGGCUCCUCAGGUCUUGGGAGGCCUGCGGUCCGGUGACGUAGUUCCGAGGCGGUGACAGAGCUGGCUCCGUGGGCGGCACCACCGUCCUGGCUCCCGAGCGGGCCAGGCUGUCUGCUUCCGUGCUGGUCUUGUGUGGGGCGACUGCUCGGGGCGGUGACGACACGUCACGUCACGUGGUUCUUGCCAUCUUCACGCAGAGGCCUGCAGGCGGCCCGGGAACUGCGGCGGCGCGCGGCCUCCACCGCGGGUGGCGGCUCAGGUCCGGGGCCGGCCUCCGUGCGGCGGGGAACGUCGUCAGUGGGGCGAGCCUCCAGCCCUCCAUCGCGUGGACGGCCCCUCCCACGGGGCCCGUGCGUGAGGAGCCUCGUGGGUCGUGAGCCCACUUUUCCCCGGAUCUGGAGGCCGAAUCGGAGACGAUGUGUCUGGGGCGAGUAGAGCACAGGGAAGCCUGGCUGUGAACCUGUGGGUCCCGCGUGGCCGGGGCUUCUGGGUCCAGUAUCCGAUCCCGAAGAGGCAGUCUCUUGCCUGCAGGGUCCUUCCUGGCUUCGGGGACAGCACCCAUGGGACCAGCCGGAAGGAGGUUCUCGUCCCGACCCCUUGUACAGCAGCCUCAUAGGCCGGGGCCACUCUGCCUUGCUGAGUGUCCUUCGUGACCUGGCACUUCGCAGACACGCCUUGGGUGAUGUUCCCGAUGGCGUCUGGGGACCCGCGUCUGUCACCCUGACGGUUUCUAGCCGGACCUCUAAAGCCGGCUCCGAGGUUAGCUUUAGCUCCGCGCCCUGCUUUAAAUCGUUACGUCGUGACUUUGCUCUGUCAUCUGUAGUGUGCCUCGUGGCGAUCCUGCACCCACGUGGAAGCCGCGAUGUCAGCAGGAGAUAGAAGGGCAUUUCACAAAAAGCACAAAGUUUUCACGCCAGUGGCCCAGCCACGGUGGCGGCUUCAUACAUUCCUUCCUGUGGUGGUCCCCACACCCGGGUCACGCGUCUGGGAGUGGCGGGAAGCACAGACCUCCCUGGUCCACGUGGAGAGACGACCCGCUUCGCAGGCACCCGGCUUGGGAGGCUGCCUGACACGCCACAGAUAACUGCGUGGUCACCUGACAGCCUCCUGUCCACGCAUCCCCGCUCAUGACACGCCUCACUGUUUCUAGGCCACAUGGUUUGUCUGCUUUUCAGAUUGUAAAUCUCAAAAAAAAUGUUCUGAUAUGUUGAAAAAAUCCCCAUGUAAGUGGCCCCCCCAAGUUCAAGCCCACGUCCACGUCAGCGUAACCUCGGCAAGCUGCGCCCACUGUCCCGAACUGCGUUUUCCUGCGUGUGGAUUCUCCCCCCCACCCCCGCCCAGAAGGGGAAAAUGUACAGGAAAAGCUAUUUCGACGUAUUUAGGAUGAAGUUUAAGUUACUACUGAGAACAUGGGUAUCGUGGUUGAAAUUUUGGGACACGUGUUUUAAGCAAAAAGUGCUAAAGUGAAUUGAA